rnacentral:lncRNA from 1 species
CAAUGCAGAACGAAGAAGUCACAUCCGUCACUUUCAAGCCUAGGUGUAUGAGGUGUGGGGGAGGAAAGCACAGGCAUCCCUGAGAAGCCUGUUGGAGAAUCAGCAUCCUCAGGGGAGAUUCGAGUUUCAAUCGGAGCAAGAAGGAGUUUUUGUCAUUUAUUUGGGAUUUUCUACAUGGACAAGCAUGUCAUCUAUAAACAAAGAGACCUUUACCCUCACCUACUCCCUUUUA